rnacentral:misc_RNA from 2 species
ACGAUAUUCCGCUGGCGCAAGACGUUAAUGAAUAUCUG